UACGUAGGGUGCGAGCGUUGCCCGGAUUUAUUGGGCGUAAAGGGCGCGUAGGCGGCUCGGCACGUCCGUUGUGAAAUCGCCCGGCUCAACUGGGCGGGGUCGGCGGAUACGGCCGAGCUGAAGCAAGCUAGGGGGUAAUGGAAUUCCCGGUGUAGUGGUGGAAUGCGUAGAUAUCGGGAGGAACACCAGUGGCGAAGGCGGUUACCUGGAGCUUUGCUGACGCUGAUGCGCGAAAGCGUGGGGAGCGAUCCGG
rnacentral:rRNA from 1 species